CUUCGGAAGUCAGUGGCAGACGGGUGAGUAACACGUGGGAACGUGCCCUUCGGUUCGGAAUAACUCAUGGAAACUUGAGCUAAUACCGGAUACGCCCUUAUGGGGAAAGGUUUACUGCCGAAGGAUCGGCCCGCGUCUGAUUAGCUUGUUGGUGGGGUAACGGCCUACCAAGGCGACGAUCAGUAGCUGGUCUGAGAGGAUGAUCAGCCACACUGGGACUGAGACACGGCCCAGACUCCUACGGGAGGCAGCAGAAGGG
rnacentral:rRNA from 1 species